rnacentral:rRNA from 1 species
GAGCGGAUGCAGCAAUGCAUUAGCGGCGGACGGGUGAGUAACACGUGGGCAACCUGGCCUUAAGAGGGGGAUAACGUUCCGAAAGGGACGCUAAUACCGCGUAAAUCAGCGAAAUCGCAUGAUUUUGUUGGAAAAGGAGAAAUCCGCUUAAGGAUGGGCCCGCGGCCUAUUAGCUAGUUGGUAGGGUAACGGCCUACCAAGGCGACGAUAGGUAGCCGACCUGAGAGGGUGAACGGCCACACUGGAACUGAGAAACGGUCCAGACUCCUACGGGAGGCAGCAGUAGGGAAUAUUCCGCAAUGGGCGAAAGCCUGACGGAGCAACGCCGCGUGAGUGAAGAAGGUCUUCGGAUCGUAAAGCUCUGUCAACAGGGACGAAACAAGACGGUACCUGAGAAGGAAGCCACGGCAAACUACGUGCCAGCAGCCGCGGUAAUACGUAGGUGGCAAGCGUUGUCCGGAAUAACUGGGCGUAAAGCGCAUGUAGACGGCAUGAUAAGCCAAAUGUGAAAUGUAGGGGCUCAACCCCUACACGGCGAUUGGAACUGUCAAGCUUGAGUGCAGGAGAGGCAAAUGGAAUUCCCAGUGUAGCAGUGAAAUGCGUAGAGAUUGGGAGGAACACCAGUGGCGAAGGCGAUUUGCUGGACUGCAACUGACGUUGAGAUGCGAAAGCCAGGGGAGCAAACGGGAUUAGAUACCCCGGUAGUCCUGGCCGUAAAACGAUGGAUACUAGGUGUAGAGGGUAUCGACCCCUUCUGUGCCGCAGUGAACGCAAUAAGAUCC